rnacentral:rRNA from 1 species
UACAGAGGGUGCAAGCGUUAAUCGGAAUUACUGGGCGUAAAGCGUGCGUAGGUGGUUUACUAAGUCAGGUGUGAAAUCCCCGGGCUCAACCUGGGAACUGCGCUUGAUACUGGUAAACUAGAGUUUAGUAGAGGGAAGUGGAAUUCCACGUGUAGCGGUGAAAUGCGUAGAUAUGUGGAGGAACACCUGUGGCGAAAGCGGUUUUCUAGCUUAUACCUGACGCUGAGGCGCGAAAGCAAGGGGAGCAAACAGG